GAUGAACGCUGGCGGCGUGCUUAACACAUGCAAGUCGAACGGAAAGGCCAGUGCUUGCCCUGGUACUCGAGUGGCGAGCGGGUGAGUAACACGUGGGUGAUCUGCCCUGCACUUCGGGAUAAGCCUGGGAAACUGGGUCUAAUACCGGAUAGGACAAUGGUUUGGAUGCCGUUGUGGAAAGUUUUUUCGGUGUGGGAUGAGCUCGCGGCCUAUCAGCUUGUUGGUGGGGUAAUGGCCUACCAAGGCGUCGACGGGUAGCCGGCCUGAGAGGGUGUACGGCCACAUUGGGACUGAGAUACGGCCCAGACUCCUACGGGAGGCAGCAGUGGGGAAUAUUGCACAAUGGGCGCAAGCCUGAUGCAGCGACGCCGCGUGGGGGAUGACGGCCUUCGGGUUGUAAACUCCUUUCGCUAGGGACGAAGCGUAUUUGUGACGGUACCUGGAGAAGAAGCACCAGCUAACUACGUG
rnacentral:rRNA from 1 species